CAUGAGAGCUGUAUCUGUUUCUCACCUUCUAUAAACAGGUGCCCUUCACCACAGAGAUUCACACACAUUGUCCUGGGAUUCAGAUAAGCUAACAAAAUAGAGUGGAAGCUGGUUGAACUGUGGGCCUAUCAACUGCCUCACUUUACAAGUGCACAAAGAAGAGAUCAUGUGAACACACAGCAAGACGGUGGCCAUCUACAAGCCAAAAGAAGAAGCCUCAGAAUAAAAUCC
rnacentral:lncRNA from 10 species